UACGGAGGAUCCAAGCGUUAUCCGGAUUUAUUGGGUUUAAAGGGUGCGUAGGCGGAUUGAUAAGUUAGAGGUGAAAUGUCCGAGCUCAACUCGGGAACUGCUUCUAAUACUGUUGAUCUAGAGAGUAGAUGCGGUAGGCGGAAUGUAUGGUGUAGCGGUGAAAUGCUUAGAGAUCAUACAGAACACCGAUUGCGAAGGCAGCUUACCAAUCUAUAUCUGACGUUGAGGCACGAAAGCGUGGGGAGCAAACAGG
rnacentral:rRNA from 1 species